GAUCAGGCUCAGGAUAAACGCUAGCUACAGGCUUAACACAUGCAAGUCGAGGGGCAGCAUGAACUUAGCUUGCUAAGUUUGAUGGCGACCGGCGCACGGGUGAGUAACACGUAUCCAACCUGCCGAUGACUCGGGGAUAGCCUUUCGAAAGAAAGAUUAAUACCCGAUGGCAUAGUUCUUCCGCAUGGUAGAACUAUUAAAGAAUUUCGGUCAUCGAUGGGGAUGCGUUCCAUUAGGUUG
rnacentral:rRNA from 1 species